GGCUUAGAGUUUGAUCCUGGCUCAGAACGAACGCUGGCGGCAGGCUUAACACAUGCAAGUCGAACGCCCCGCAAGGGGAGUGGCAGACGGGUGAGUAACGCGUGGGAAUCUACCGAGCCCUACGGAAUAACGCAUGGAAACGUGUGCUAAUACCGUAUACGCCCUUAGGGGGAAAGAUUUAUCGGGGUUUGAUGAGCCCGCGUUGGAUUAGCUAGUUGGUGGGGUAAAGGCCUACCAAGGCGACGAUCCAUAGCUGGUCUGAGAGGAUGAUCAGCCACAUUGGGACUGAGACACGGCCCAAACUCCUACGGGAGGCAGCAGUGGGGAAUAUUGGACAAUGGGCGCAAGCCUGAUCCAGCCAUGCCGCGUGAGUGAUGAAGGUCUUAGGAUUGUAAAGCUCUUUCACC
rnacentral:rRNA from 1 species